rnacentral:tRNA from 1 species
UGCGGGGUAGAGCAGCCCGGUAGCUCGCAAGGCUCAUAACCUUGAGGUCGGUGGUUCAAAUCCACCCCCCGCAACCA